rnacentral:rRNA from 1 species
UACGUAGGGACCAAGCGUUGUUCGGAUUUACUGGGCGUAAGGGGCGCGUAGGCGGCAAUUCAAGUCAGUUGUGAAAUCUCCGAGCUUAACUCGGAACGGUCAACUGAUACUGUCUUGCUAGAGUACAGAAGGGGCAAUCGGAAUUCUUGGUGUAGCGGUGAAAUGCGUAGAUAUCAAGAGGAACACCUGAGGUGAAGACGGGUUGCUGGGCUGAUACUGACGCUGAGGCGCGAAAGCUAGGGUAGCAAACGGG